CAACUACUCCCUCUGUCCCAAAUUUCUUGUCUUAGAUUUUUCUAGAUACGGAUGUAUCUAAUACUAAAAUGUGACUUGAUACAUCCAUAUCUAGACAAGUCUAAGACAAGAAUUUUGGGACGGAGGGAGUACUUU
rnacentral:pre_miRNA from 1 species